rnacentral:lncRNA from 1 species
CGGUCGUUCAUCGAAGGACGGCGGCGACGGCGAUCCGACCAUGGAAAGGUCCCCUCCCCAAGGUAUGUCUACCAAAUCUCACACUUUUCGAUUUGAUCCGCCCGGAGGCUUGGACUACGGUAGUGAGGAAGAAGAAAGGCCGCCGGGGAGUGGCCGGACCGGCGCCGGCGGCAACCACGGCGACUGCGCCGGUGAUCACGGCGAUCGGGAUCGGGGCCGCUCGCUCCUGUCGUUUGAACGAGCUUCUGGGCCGGGUUGGGCUGGAGUUGAGCGAGAAUGAGAUGGGCCUGACUAGGACUGGGUAUGAGGCCCAGGUCCUUAGCUAGGUGACCGACCGGCCCGUCGAGGAGGCUAGCGACGUGCAUGCGAUCGAGUCGAAGAGUUCGACUAGUCUUGCAGUCCCUCGUCUGCUUCGUUCGUCCAGGACGGCUAGGGUUUGCAAGGUUGCUGUGCCUGGCUUCCCUCGGAUUGGAAUUGGGAGGGCUGCGCGUGUUCCACCGGUUGCGGCCAUGGCAGGUCGGGGCGCUGGUCCUCCACCUAAACCGCCUCUGCCCAAGCCAGCGCCACCCAAGCCGGUGCCGCCCUUGACCGGCGGGCCGUCGCGGCAUGCUCCGCUCCCCACAAGGUGGCACCGCCGCCGCAGAACAAGGCGGGGAGUCAGGCACCCACCCGCCAGUGUCUAACGAAGGUAUGCCUCCUGCGGCCAGGGCCGCGCCGCCGAUGCCGCGGGGAGGCGCCUCGUCGGGCCAGCAGCGGCAAUGCGCCUACCGUGGCAGGGAGGCUUUGUAUGGAGGUCGGGAUCCCCCCUGUGGUCAAUGGGGCGAUGAUGGGUAUGACGCGUAUGGCGAAGGACAACAUCGUGGUUCGUCCUCGACAGGUGGCAGACGUGGUUUUGCCUGGCAGAGCGAUGGGUCGACGGAACGACCGUUUUACGGAUCGCCGGGAGGAUUCGUCGAGGGAGCUUCCGGUCCGGAUUACAGGCAGAGAGGUGGUUUCCGUGCUCAUCGUGGUGGCCGGGGAGGCCGAUACCGUAAUCGUCAGCCUCCACCGCCUACUGCUACAGUGACCGAUGUUGCAGAGCCGGCAAGCUCCGCGGAUGGGGCAGCAGCUGUGCAGACGCCACCUUUGUCUGGCCAGGCCAUGGCCGCGGUGACGGCGCUGGCAACAAGGACGGUACCUGAGGUGGUGCCCUCUGCAGCGGGGACGGUCAGCGGGUCUGAGAAAUCUGACGGUGAGCGAGUUUCCAAGUGGGCUCGGAAGAAGGAGAAGAUGUUGUGCUAUCGCCGUGGUGAACAGGGGCACUUCAUAGCUGAGUGCGUGUCUGAGCUCUGUGACACGUGCCUCAAGCCGGGGCAUGAAACCGGGGACUGCCCGGUACUUCAUGAACCCAUGCCCAGUGUUACUAUUUAUGGAGUGUGUUGUGCCGAGUUAAUGUUCUUUGGGUCCCCUAAUGCACGGGAGAUCCCUGAGGCGCCACAGAGAGCGACCACGGGGGUGCUCAAAGUGACUAAGGGUAUCCUUUCUGACGCACAAAUCAUACAAAGGCUGCAUGAGUUGGCACCUGGGAAUUUUCAGUGGGAGUUGCUCGAGGCAAACACGUUCAAGGUUGAGUUUCCAACCACUGAUCAUCUGCAGAGACUUUUGAGCUUUGGGUUGUGCAGAGUCUCGGGCACCGAGUGUAUUCUUGAGUUCCACGAGUGGAAGAGGGUUGAGCCGAAGGGCAAGCCUCUUACUCAGGUUUGGUUACGGUUUUCGAGGGCACCAUCCAAGCCUCUGAAUGAUGUUCGGGUCGCAGCUAGCUUGGGGAAUCUUGUUGGGAAGACCGAGCAGGUGGACAUGGCCUUUACCCGAGCUCAUGGGGUGGCGAGGCUGCUAGUGAGUGUUCUGGACAUUGAGUAUGUUCCGGAUGUGGUUAAGUGGACGUAUGCCGGCAUGAUCUUCAACCUAGAGAUUGAGUUUGAGGACACUGACUUAUUCGCUGAGGCGCUGAAUGGUAAUGAUGUGGAUAUGCUCGAUAAGGAUGACGGGUCUAGCAACAAGGAGUUGAGCGAGGUGGAUCGUGGACGAGAUAUGUCCACUAACCCAGGCUCUAACGUAGCUCCAGCGGCGCCUAGGAUGGGGACUCCCAUGCAGACUUCGGCGCCUACGAAUGCACCACGAUUUGGAUCGUUUGAACCUACUUCGGCACCUCCUAGGCUGUGGAGCGAGAGGGUGGAGUGUGAGGAUGAGCAGUCGCUCCCCCCCUUGAUUUUGAGGUUCUUGAUUCGACUGCUGGUGGAUGUCCUGAUGGCUCUGAUGCUGUGGUGCCCUAUGCGACGGAGGCCCCCACUUCUGUGGCCACCGAGACGGGGCUCAGACUUGGUGCGGGAGGGGAGGCGGCUGGGUGGAUGGCUCCUGGUUCUCCCGCUACUCGCCCUCGGUGUGAGGCAUCACCGGAGCCGCAGGGAUCGACGCUGACUCCUGCGGCGGAGGUCGUGCGGGCUAGAGCGGCCGUGGUCGGGGUCUGCGUUGAGGCCAGCACCGGAUCAGGAGGAGGGCGCGGGCAGGUGGCCUUCGCCUCACCUCCUCCUGUGCUGCCCCUGGAGGGGGUGGCCCCUAUGACGUCAACGGGACCUGGGUCGGCUGGCCUGGGUAUGCUUUGUCACGGCCAGGUGGCGACUGAGCGAGUUCCACUGACGGCUUGGGGUAGCUCCCCCGUUGUCUCUGCUCCGUCUAGCCCUGUUGGAGGUACGACAGGUGGUCGUACCCCGAAUGGGGUCUCGCGGGACGAGAUCAUCACUUUUGGAGGGAUUCAGGAUCCUGUGUUCGCAGGUAGACGGAUGAGCGGUCGUCUCCAGGGUUAGCCGGGAGUUGAUGACAUGCAGCUGUGGUGCGCCAUGCGGGCGGCCAAGCUCCAUGAUAUUGAGGUCACUACGGGUAUGUCAGUCAAUACUUUCAAUUCUAUUCUGCAUUUUUCUAGUGAUGAGAUUAUUCAUAAUGCAACUCAGUUGAGUGUGUCACUAGGUAAAAAUGAUAUAGAAACUUCUAAAUCUGUUAAUGAUAUCCUGGAUCUUGAAGUGAAGCGUGCUUUAGAAAUGAUCCGUAACAUAGCGGCUGUUAAUGACGCGGAGAUAGAUGAGUUGGGACGGGUCCUUAAUAGCUUUUGUGCUGAUCUUGCACCCUCUCUUGCUGAUACCGAGGAAGAGGAUUGCCCUGUCUCACCGAGGGAUUCCACUAUUGCUGACUCUCUGGUAGUUAGCUCCUCUGAGCCUGGUCAUGACUCAUGAGGACCACGUUGAGGAUCAAAACAAACCUAAGCGCAAAUGGAAGCACAAGAUAUAUCCCGCUUCGGCUGUGCGUAGAAGUGCUAGGAUCCGGACCACUAAAAAAUUUCAUGAUGAAUUAUGAAAGGAUUUUUUUUGGAAUAGCAGAGGUCUUAAGGACUUGGCUAAGAGAAGGUUUCUAGCUGAUGCUUCGAUAGAACACAAGCUGGAUUUUAUCGCCCUUUCUGAGACUAGGAGAGGAAACUUUACCCCCCAGUUUCUUAGUACCCUAUCGGGAGGUGUGGACUUUGAUUGGCAUUGUUUGCCUCCAAGGGGAAGAUCCGGUGGGAUUUUACUUGGGGUUAAGUGCGAUUCUUUAGAAGUCCGGAAUGUGGUUAUGGGCGAUUUUGCAGUGAAGUUUAGGGUCAAAUCAAAGACUGAUGGGUUUCAGUGGGCUUUGGUGGCGGUUUGAAAGAGAUGGGUUCAUGGAUCUGAUAGCCAGGGAAUGGGCUAAGGAUUCGGGUGGGAGGUCGAAUGUUGAGAGAUGACAAAACAAAAUAAGACACCUAAGGCAAUUCUUACGUGGAUGGGCCAAGCAUUUAAGUGGGAUUUAUAAGAUUGAAAAUGAUCGUCUUCUUGAUCUUAUUCAAUCCCUAGACUUGAAGGCCGAGUCCUCUAUUUUAGACACCAGAGAGCGGGAAACUAAAAUGGAGGCGAAAGUUCGACUGAAAGAGCUUCUUCGAGAGGAGGAAUUGAAAUGGGCAUUACGUGCGAAAGUCCACAAAAUCCUACAAGGGGAUGAUAAUACCCAAUUUUUCACAUGAUUGCGAAUGUCAAACAUCAAAACAAGAGAAUCUUUCAGUUAGAGCAGGACGAGGGGACGAUUUUAGGGCAGAAAAAUUUAGAACUACAUAUCACAAACUAUUAUAAGCGGCUGUUUGGGCCGCCAGAGGAUAAUUUCGUGUCCUUGGAUGAGUCCAGGCUAGAGGAUGUGCCUCAGCUUGCUGCAGAGGAAAAUGAAAUUUUGACUGCCCCGUUUUCGGAGAAAGAGGUGUUUGAGGCUAUAUCACAAAUGAAGAAUAAUAAAGCUCCAGGCCCGGAUGGUUUUCCGGCGGAGUUUUAUAAGAAAUGCUGGCACAUUAUUAAAGGGGACUUGAUCCCGUUGUUCCAUGAUUUAUUCUGUGGGCAGUUACAGUUGUCUCACUUAAAUUACGGAACAAUAACUUUGUUACCUAAGAAAACAGACGCUGUGCGGAUCGAGCAAUUCCGGCCCGUAUGUCUUCUUAAUGUCAGCUUCAAAAUUUUCACGAAGGUGGGGACGAAUAGGCUUACGCAAAUUGCGCACACUGUGGUGCAACCUUCCCAAACUGCUUUUAUGCUAGAUAGAAACAUCCUAGAAGGGGUUGUAGUUCUGCAUGAAAUGCUCCAUGAGAUCCACACGAAAAAACUAGAUUUUUAAAGUGGAUUUUGAAAAAGCGUAAGAUAAAGUUAAAUGGCCAUUCCUUGCGUAUGAAGGGAUUUGAGCAGGCCUGGAGGAACCAGGUUGAUUCUUUCACGCAAAAAGGGAGUGUUGGAAUUAAAGUGACUGAUGACGUAGGUCACUACUUCCAGACGCACAGAGGUUUGACGCAAGGGGACCCGAUGUCACCGAUUCUUUUCAACAUUGUGGUUGACAUGUUGACAACCUUAAUAGGUAGGGCUAAUUAGACUGGCCAAGUAGGUGGCCUAGUUCCGCAUCUAGUGGAUGGCGGGGUGUCGAUCCUUCAGUAUGCUGAUGAUACUAUCAUUUGGAAAAAGCAAGAAACAUGAAGCUUGUGUUAUGUUUGUUCGAACAAUUAUCGGGGUCAAAGAUUAACUUCCACAAAAGUGAAUUGUUCUGUUUUGGAAGAGCCAAAGAUGAACAAGAUGCAUACAAACAAUUGUUCGGAUGCGAAUUGGGAUCUUUACCCUUCACAUAUUUGGGUAUACCAAUUCACCAUCGCAAGCUUUCUAACAAAGAGUGGAAGUGCAUCGAAGAUCGAUUUGAAAAGAAACUAAGUUGCUGGAAGGGCAAGCUUAUGUCAUACGGAGGCCGAUUAAUCCUCAUUAAUUCGGUUCUUACAAGUAUGCCGAUGUUUCUUUUGUCCUUUUUCGAGAUACCAGUGGGGGUCAGGAAAAGGCUAGACUUCUAUCGAUCUCGAUUCUUCUGGCAAAGUGAUGAAUUAAAACGAAAAUACAGACUCGUGAAAUGAGAUAUUAUUUGCAGAUCGAAAGACCAAGGGGGUCUCAGUAUUGAAAGCUUAGAGGUGAAGAACAAAUGUUUGCUCAGCAAAUGGUUAUUUAAGCUAUCUGUAGAGACGGAGGCCACGUGGGCGCAAAUAUUGCGCAAUAAGUACCUUAACUCCAAAACAUUGUCCCAGGUGACAGUGAGGCCGACUGAUUCACCUUUUUGGAAAGGACUGAUGAGAGUGAAAUCAGCCUUUUUCAACAGGACAAAAUUUUUAGUUGGAAACGGUACUACCACGAGGUUCUAGGAGGACACAUGGCUUGGGGAGACGCCCCUUGCACUCCAAUAUCCCUCUCUCUAUAAUAUUGUGCAGCGAAGAGAAGCUUAUGUUGCAACAAUAUUACAGUCUAAUCCUUUGAAUAUCCAAUUCAGAAGGAUGCUAGCGGGAAAUCGUUGGGAAGCUUGGCUACACUUAGUAUGACGACUAAUGGAAGUCGAGCUUUCCCAACAACCAGAACGGUUGAACUGGAAGCUCACAAAGAAUGGAGAGUUUUCGGUUAAAUCCAUGUAUUUGGAUGUUAUCAACUCUAGUGUUAUUCCUCGCUCGAAACAUGUGUGGAAAGUCAAAGUGCCUCUAAAAAUCAAAGUGUUUAUGUGGUUUCUACAUAAACAAAUUAUUCUAACCAAGGAUAAUCUGGUGAAACACAAUUGGACAGGAUCUACAAGAUGUAGUUUCUGUGAUAAGGAUGAGUCCAUCAAACACCUCUUUCUCGAAUGUCCCGUGGCAAAAAAUUUAUGGCGGACGGUGCACUUAGCUUUUAAUAUUACUCCUCCGAAUACCAUUAACACGUUAUUUGGGACGUGGUUUGAUGGGUUAGGCUCCAAAACUGCGAGACAUAUACGUGUUGGAGUAUGUGCUUUAUUAUGUGCUAUUUGGAACUGCAGAAAUGAUUUGGUUUUUAACAGAACAACAAAUAUUCAUUUCUUGCAGGUUAUCUUCCGGGCCACUACACUGAUCCAUAUGUGGUCGCUACUCACUCCGACGGAGGCCAGGGAGCGUUUGGUUACUAGAUCUGUCCGUUGGGAGAUGGUAGCUCGGGAUAUCUUCAACCGGUUUGGAUGGCGGUCAUGUAAUAGGAUAGGUUUUUAGGUUCCUAUCUUAUAUUUUUUGCCUGUCGGUUGUGGCUUUUCUUGGUAUGUUGAUUUUGCUCUUUGUGAGCUUUUCUGCUUUUCAGAGCGGAAGACCUUUGUGGAACCUUUUUGUUUAUUAUUAAUAAUAUGGCCGUAUGCAUCAUUCUGAUGCAGAGGCCGGGGCCGUGUCCCCUUU